CUGAGCAAAGUGUACACUGCAUGCCCCAGCCUGCUUAAAUCACAGUGCCUGCCACCCAGCCACGCUGCUGAUUAUCAUAGGAGAGUCCGCAGUUCAAGUUGGUCUCACUCUAUCAGUGAAAGGAAAAUACGUGGAGGUGGAUUGUUCUCAGGAGUCUUGCCAAACCCUCUCUAAUCUGAUGGAUGAAUGAGCACGAGUGAUACAUGUUGAUUCAAUCUUUGAAGAAACUAUCUCAUUUCUGGUCAGUGCCAUCCCCAUAAACCAGAAGGCCUCUUUAGAGCUGGGAUCACUCUGUGGAUUCUACCACUCACCUACACACGAGUGACAACUUACAGUUAAUCUACCAAUCUACAUGGCUUUGCGAUGCGGGAGGAAUCUGGAAUACCUGGAAGAAACCCACAUGGUUCCGAGGAGAAUGUUCAAACUCCACACAGACAGCACCUGAGAUCAGUACUGAACCCGGUCUCUGGCACUGAGGGUACAGCUCUACGGAAACCUCAAAUGCACCAUCACUGAGACUAGCUUUUCUUUUUAUACCAGAUUUUCUUCAAGAAAUUGUUAAGCAAUGAAUUUGAAUCCUAGGAGGAACCUCAUUUGUUUUGAGUGUGUAAGAAUAUUUGUUAAUUCAGACUUCUAACUAUUGCAAAAGCAAUUAUACUGUGAUUUAAAUCGAUAAGCACUCUAACAAUAGUCAAGUCUUACAAAUGAUAUCAGAAAAUCAAAAUCUAAAUUAACUUAAUGUAGUUAGUUAGAUUUUAGUUCGUUCAUUGUCAGAGAACUAAAAUAGAUAUUUUUCAUCAGUUUAAUUUUAACAGAUUACUUCUUAAUUUUUUUGAAAAAUACAGUAAAAUUCCCAUAAUCUGCUAUCCCAUUGUUUGAAAAUCAUGAUGGUUUGGCAUCUGGCUCACCAGAUGCUGAUCCAUGAACUCCCUUUAACACAUCUAGUUCUGCGUUCCCUCACUACUGUAACACACUGGAGCCCUGGUUCCACACCCCCUUUAACACACUGGAGCCCCAGUUCUUGUGCUCCCUUUAAUACACCAUGCCCCAAUUCCAGCAAGUUCUAGAAACUCACAGUGGCGCUGUUUCCUCCACCUCCUUUAAAAAUUACUGGUUUCACUGGAAAAAUUAUUACACUACUGUGUAACAUCUAAAAAAAAAUUUGAAUUAAAUGCCAGUCUGGCACCACCAAAGUCUUGAGCAUUCUGGAUCUACAGAGUUUUACUCAUUACAGGAAAGAUGUGGAGACUUUGGAGUGGGUGCAGAAGAGGUUCACCAGGAUGCUGCCUGGAUUAGAGGGUAUUAGCUUAUAAGGAGAGGUUGGACAAACUUGGAUUCUUUUCUCUGGAGCGUUGGAGGCUGAGGGGAGACCUGAUAGAGGCUUGUAAAAUUAUGAGAGGCAUGGAUAGUGGAGAAAGUCAGACUCUUUCUCCCAGGGUAGAAAUGUCAAAUACUAGACGACAUAGCUUUAAUGUGAGAGGGGCAAAUUUUAAAGGCGAUGUGCAGAGCAAGUUUUUUUUACACAGAGUGGUAGGUGCCUGAGGUGGUGGUGGAAGCAGACACGUGUGUUACGAACUGGGUUACUAUUGGUGAAUGUCCCUUUAAGAUAGAGCAUAGUGGUGUGUGUGUGUGUGUGUGUGUGUGUGUGUGUGUGUGUGUGUGUGCGUGCGUGUGUGGGGCGUGGUUACGACAAGAGAAGAUAAAGGUCAUAAUGAUGUUUUUGAAGCAGUCAGUCGGAGUCAGUCAGAGGGGAGAGAGAGAAAGAGAGAGAGAGAGAGAGAGAGACACACCAGCUUGCUAGUAUCUCUAUUGAUGGAUGAGAAAUAAUAACUGUGCCUGUCACUACAGUCCAUGUAUGGAUUUUUGGAGUAAUCCGGUGGAGUCCACUUUGUCGUUAACCUGUAGAGGGAAACAGGUACUUUUGUGGACAGCCACAUCUCGGAUGCUUUUUGGGGUGGCAGAUACUUCGGAACAAAACAGUGGAGUUCACUUUGUUGUUGACCUGUAGAGGGAAACGGAUAUUUUUGUGGACGGCCACGAUUCGAGAGCCUUUCGGGGUGAGGCAGAUGCGGUGGAGUGGUCACUGCUGAUUAAAUACUGAGGUGUUGUUUGGGUUCCAUCAUGUAACAUUUGGAUUUCAUAAUUACUCUGUAUUUUCUCUCUACAUCUACGUUUUGUCUUUAGUCAACGGUGGUUGUUGAAAAGCCUUUGAUCACGUUUCACCUUACGGCUUGCUGAACUGAACUUUAAGAACCAUUCCUGGAUGUGGAGUUUGGGAAUUUGCCACACACACACUACGAGUUUAG